UUUACAGAGAUCUACUAGCUACUCAGUGUACCAAUGAAAUACAAAAAAAUAACAACAACAAAACAGUACAUUAAGUUUUUCUAUAAGUAAGAACUCUCUAAGAACCAAAGAACUUUGCAGUAAUUCGUGUAUGUUCCCAGAGGUUAUACGACACGCAGGCUGAGAGACCCUGACGCUUGUCUCUAUUCUAACGGGACUGUGUCACGAGUGAUGCAAGGGCACACACAAAGGGAGAGCUCACCAUUCAUAUGACGUAAUGUAAGCAUUUCUGUAAUACGGGUGGCCGAUUCUCAUGAUAGCAUCCGUUAGGAAUUUCUCAUGCACAAGAGACCACAGUACCUUAUUAAGAAUACCCUUCUAAUCUGUAAUCCUAUAAGGGAAGAAACUCUAACGAAUUAAAAGACUAUU